UACAUGGGGUGCAAACGUUGCUCGGAAUUAUUGGGCGUAAAGAGCUCGUAGGCGGUCUGUCGCGUCGGAUGUGAAAGCCCGGGGCUUAACCCCGGGUCUGCAUUCGAUACGGGCAGACUAGAGUGUGGUAGGGGAGAUCGGAAUUCCUGGUGUAGCGGUGAAAUGCGCAGAUAUCAGGAGGAACACCGGUGGCGAAGGCGGUUCUCUGGGCCUGUACUGACGCUGAGGAGCGAAAGCGUGGGGAGCGAACAGG
rnacentral:rRNA from 1 species